AGUCCUAUGGUGUAGCGGUCAAGCACGUGGGCCUUUGGAGCCCAAAACCCCGGUUCGAAUCCGGGUAGGACUA
rnacentral:tRNA from 1 species